AGUUACACAUAUUACACAUACAUAUAGUAGAUUUCUUCUACUCACCAUACUCACUCUCUUAGACUCUAAACUUAGUCACUAUUUGACCUUACUUCUAGACUUUAGACUUAAGCAUACAAGCAACCUUACACAACCUUACCUUAGCUACUAACAAUCCCAACAACUCUCAACUACUCUAGCUUAAGUACUUUAGCUAGAAUAAGAUACAUAAGCUAAUUCUACGAAUGGGCCACAAAGAAACAUACUUCACCACUUUGGGCCUAUACUAACUUCAUUAGCCCAAUAAGACAAAACACAAAAACCCACUUCUCUUGUUGACUUUUCUUCUUCUUCUUCUCAUGUCUUCUCUCUUACGACCAAGCCGACCACUUCGUCUUCUUCUUCAAGGUUUCAAUCUUCUUGUUCUUCAUCAUCGUUUGACUCAUAGUAGUUUUCUCUUUUGCAGGCUCAAUCGAAAACUCAACUCUCAACACUCCCUCUUGAGUUUUCGAUUUGAGGUCUCGAUUCCAAGUUAGAAUUUUGAAUCUUGAUGCUUUUACUUCUUCGGUACUGGUUCCUUUUCUCUUCAUCGAAGGAGAACUCUUCAGGGCAUCGGCAUAACUCAUCGAAACUCUGGGGAGAAAUCUAUGUCUCCAAACUUGAAUGCACACGAUUCUCCAAUUAGAGUUCUCUUCUCUAAUCCACUUUUGCUCCCUCUCAAUCUUAGAACUUCUCUGGUUCUUAACUUCAACCACUUGCUUUUGAUUCACGACUUCAGUUUUUGACUCCUUUUGAUUUGCAGCUUUGGUAAGCCCAGCUCCUCGGUGACCUGAUUCAGCAUCUUUAUUCACAACCACCAUUGUUGCUUCUUCACUUGACGACAUCUUAAGAUGAAAACUUUUGUUGACCAUUGGUAUCUCGGCUAUCUUUCUCCCAGCUGGAUCAUGAAUGGUACAGCCUUUUUGAUCAAAGCACAGCUCCAUUACCUACAAGUAUAGGAACAUUGAAGCUUGUGUUGAGAUUUGAGAAUAGCUUUUCAUCUGAAGUCAUAUGAUUUGUGCAUCCACUAUCAAUGAGCCAGACAUUCUCUUCAGUCUUUCAUUAGAUGACCCACUUUGCCACAGUGAAAACAACUCCAAUUCCUAGUGUCUCUGUUUCUGUUGAAAUCAGACUUCUGAACCGUGCAUGAAAGGCUCCUUCUGCAUCUUCUUCAUCUUCAGGGAAGAAUUUCUUUUCAUGUGCCUCAAGAGAUCCAAGCAGCUCAGCAUAGGUAACUGUUUUUAGAUCCUUAGUUUCUUCCAUUAAGGAUGACAGACCAGCAUAACUUUUUGGCAUAGAGGCCAGCAUUUUUACCACUAAAUCAAAGUUUGAUUUUCCUUCACCUAGAGCUCUCAUCUGAUUUGCUACAGCCUGAAUCCUAUCCGAAGUGCUCCAGGAGUUUCCAUGCUUGGUGUGAUGAAGAUGCAGAGAGGAUCUUGUCAAACACCACAUCAGCCACAGCAUGCUGAAUAAUUUGAAGAGCAGCAGUGUCUUUAGCUUUUAGGGCCUUCAGGGCAGCAUCUUUUCCUUUAUCUGGAGUUUCAGUUGAUUGAGCUGUAGCUUCUAGUACUCCAUCUUUGACGACUUCCCAUAGAUCUUUAUUCAAGAGUGUAGUUUUCAUUCUUGCAGCCCAGAACUCAUAGUUCUGACCAUCAAAGACUGCAACCAGUUGAUGAGAGGACUGCAAGUUCAACGCCAUGCUCCAAGAACAAGAUGAGCUCUGAUACCAUGUUGUUUUUCUGCUUAGAUCACAGGUUUGUUUUGUUUUUCUCUUAAACUUUCAUACUUUCAUAUUCGAUAAGUUACACAUAUUACACAUACAUAUAGUAGAUUUCUUCUACUCACCAUACUCACUCUCUUAGACUCUAAACUUAGUCACUAUUUGACCUUACUUCUAGACUUUAGACUUAAGCAUACAAGCAACCUUACACAACCUUACCUUAGCUACUAACAAUCCCAACAACUCUCAACUACUCUAGCUUAAGUACUUUAGCUAGAAUAAGAUACAUAAGCUAAUUCUACGAAUGGGCCACAAAGAAACAUACUUCACCACUUUGGGCCUAUACUAACUUCAUUAGCCCAAUAAGACAAAACACAAAAACCCACUUCUCUUGUUGACUUUUCUUCUUCUUCUUCUCAUGUCUUCUCUCUUACGACCAAGCCGACCACUUCGUCUUCUUCUUCAAGGUUUCAAUCUUCUUGUUCUUCAUCA